UUCUUCACACCAGCCCCACCGACCUUCCCAUCAUACUCUGUGUAAUGCAGAACGUACGGCGCUUCCCCAUCUCCCGGUUUCUCCAUCUUCAGAAACAACCCAUUUAUCACAGUCGCCCCAUUCUCACUCGCCCUGUUCCUCAAGUACUGGUCCAGCACCUCACGCCUCACCAUCCCAAUGUACUCGUGCGGCUUCAGAGUUUGACCAAUGUCAACUGCCACAUUGGACGGCGAAAUCAUCUUCAUCUUGGUGACCCGGCGGUCGAUGAUGUCCAAUGGGAGGUCAAAUUCACCCACCAUGCAGAGCGGGAUUGCGCCGCCGCAGGGCUUACAGUUGUCCAUUUUUCGCUCGAUUAGGAACGUCUCGAUGCCGCCUUUGGCGAGGGUCUCAGCGGCGGAGCCGCCUGCCGGGCCACCUCCGACGACGGCGACCCUGAGGUUUCGACCCGUGACUUUUGGGCUGGUUUUGGCGGCAUUGACCUGGAGCCUCCGGUGGAUUGAAGGGUUUAGAGAAAUGGGUUUUGCUUGGAUUGUGAAAUGGGGCUUUUCUGCGGAGGCUUGGCGGAGUCCGAUGAAGGACUUGAGAGC
rnacentral:lncRNA from 1 species